UCAAGAACGAAAGUUAGAGGUUCGAAGGCGAUCAGAUACCGCCCUAGUUCUAACCAUAAACGAUGCCAGCCAGCGAUCCGGCUGUGUUCCUCAAAUGACACGCCGGGCAGCUUCCGGGAAACCAAAGCUUUUGGGUUCCGGGGGAAGUAUGGUUGCAAAGCUGAAACUUAAAGGAAUUGACGGAAGGGCACCACCAGGAAUGGAGCCUGCGGCUUAAUUUGACUCAACACGGGAAAACUUACCCGGCCCGGACACAGGAAGGAUUGACAGAUUAAGAGCUCUUUCUUGAUUCUGUGGGUGGUGGUGCAUGGCCGUUCUUAGUUGGUGGAGCGAUUUGUCUGGUUAAUUCCGAUAACGAACGAGACUCUAGCCUACUAAAUAGACGUUCCGAUCAUCUCCGUCGGACGUUCUUCUUAGAGGGACAAGCGGCGUUUAGCCGCACGAGACAGAGCAAUAACAGGUCUGUGAUGCCCUUAGAUGUCCGGGGCCGCACGCGCGCUACAUUGAAGGAAUCAGCGUGUGCUUUCCCUGUCCGACAGGACUGGGUAACCCGUUGAACCUCCUUCGUGCUGGGGAUAGGGGCUUGUAAUUGUUCCCCUUGAACGAGGAAUUCCCAGUAAGCACGAGUCAUAAGCUCGUGUUGAUUACGUCCCUGCCCUUUGUACACACCGCCCGUCGCUACUACCGAUUGAAUGAUUUAGUGAGGUCUUCGGACUGGCGCUCGGAGCGGCCCUCGGGUCGCGCCGGCGUGCCGGAAAGAUGACCAAACUUGAUCAUUUAGAGGAAGUAAAAGUCGUAACAAGGU
rnacentral:rRNA from 1 species